rnacentral:rRNA from 1 species
CCUACGGGCGGCAGCAGUGAGGAAUAUUGGUCAAUGGGCGAGAGCCUGAACCAGCCAAGUCGCGUGAAGGAUGAAGGAUCUAUGGUUUGUAAACUUCUGUUAUAUGGGAAUAAAGUGAGGAAGGUGUUCCUUUUGGUAUGUACCAUAUGAAUAAGCAUCGGCUAACUCCGUGCCAGCAGCCGCGGUAAUACGGAGGAUGCGAGCGUUAUCCGUGUUUAUUGGGUUUACAGGGUGCGCAGGCGGAUGUUGAAGUCAGCGGUCAAAUCGUGGGGCUCAACCCCAUCCAGCCGUUGAAACUGGGGAUCUAGAGUGUGCGAGAGGUAUGCGGAAUGCGUGGUGUAGCGGUGAAAUGCAUAGAUAUCACGCAGAACCCCGAUUGCGAAGGCAGCAUACCGGUGCACAACUGACGCUCAGGCACGAAAGCGUGGGUAUCGAACAGGAUUAGAUACCCGUGUAGUC